CGUGAUCGGGCCAGUGACGAGUUCGUAUCAGUGUCGUUGGAUGACGUCAGAUACAAAAUGGCCACUGUCUCUGGGCCACAGCACAUCGAAUAAGGAUCACGAGCGAAACGAUAGGCUUAAGGGUGGGGAAUUGUAAAACCGAAAUUGUCGUAGAGUGAGAGAGAAAGAAAGAGAAAGGGAGGAAGAGAGAGAGAGAGAGAGAGAGAAAGAAAAAAAGAAAGAAAGAAAGAAAGAGAGAAAGAUAGAGACAGGAAGAGUGAGUAAGCGAGUAAGAGAGACAGAGAGAGAGUGAGAGUAAGAGAGUGUGAGAGAAAGCGCGGGGGAGGGGAAGAAUAAUUGGAAUCGAGCGGCGUAGGUGUGUCAGUGUUCGGUCUUCCCCGCGAUAAUGCUGUUGUCAUCGGGAUGCCGAGAUUCACACGUAGACUCGCGCGACUCCCAGUGUCCUGAGUCGCGAUUACCAUUUACAUUUCUUCGGGCAUCUCUUGGACGGUGAACAAAACUAAAAAAUACGUGUAACUACGAAGGACUGACCGUCAGAAGGAAAAAAGAAAGAAAGAAAGAAAGAAAGAAAGAAAGAGAGAGAGAGAGAGAUAAAACUCAUUCGUCAAAGAAAGAUUACAAGAGGAACGAGUGCUAACAAUUUUCUCUUUUGCUACAACUCUCGUUUUCUCUCUCUUUCCUUUCUUGUUCGUCCUCACCGAGGCAAUCGAACGCAAGCAUAUUGAAGUUUCUAUAAGGAAGAAAAAAACGAAUCCUCUUUCUCUCUCUCUCUCUCUCUCUCUCUUUCUCUCUCACCCUUUUUCGAAUUAAUCAUUUUUGGAGAAUUAUGUACGUAAGAAAAACUGUAAAUAUCUGAAUGAAACCAAAAGGAGGAGUGGAAGGAACAGGGAAAAAGGGCAAAACAAUUGCUACUUAUUUUCCCUUUAAUUUUCGUUAUCACCAUCGCUGUUUUCUAUUCUGGGCUAAGGUCCUCGUUGAUUGGAUAUCAACGAAGAUCGAGAGAGAAAGAGAUAUCGAGUUUGCUACUGUCCAAUGACACAUGAAUAAAAUAAUAGUAGCGCAAAAAUAUUGGCGAAUAAAAAAGGUAGGAGUGGAGAAGUGAACAAAUGAAAAAGGGUAAAUACAGAACGGUGGCUGGUGCUCCGUAAAAAGUUUUAAUAGCGUGGAAGAAAGCGUGCUCCAUUAUCGUUCUUAUUCGUCGAGUUUUACUUUUGUGCGAUCGAUUCUAACGAAAAGAGAACGAACGAACGAACCAGAACGUAUCUCUAUUUUGAGUGGUCCAAUUCUGCUAUAGUCCGUUUUUAUGAUUGCAAGAAAGAGAGAAGAAGCGAAGGGAGACAAGAAAUUGGGUGUACAGGGAACAAGGAUUAAAGGGAAAAUAAGAGAAAGGAAAAGGAUUCAGUGGCCCUUAUUGCAUAUAUCGGAUAUGAGUAUGAACAGUUGUGUUCGUUCAUCUUCGUCAUCGUCAUCGUCAUCAUCAUUGGGAAUAAAGUUUCAAUGAUUCGUUCGUCUGCGAUAGAAAUUUCUUUGGUAGAAAAUAGUUCGAGUAAAAGUCAUCAAACCGGCGGCUACUGUUUUCAGUGAAACGAACGUCGCCAAACUUUAGGACAGUGGUCAGAAAGUUUGCAAGUGCGCCGUCAGAGGGCCGGCGACUUCCGUGCGCGCCUCUACGCGCUUCGCCUACCAGCAGUCACCGUCGCUUCUUCCGCGAGAGAGGUUUACGUCCUCUUCUCCUUUUUCAUAUUUUUACAUCUUUUCCUUUUUUAUUUAUUUCUUUAUUUUUCUUUGUUUGAAUGUCGUUCAAUUUGGUUGAUCCUACGAAAACUCGUGGACGAAGGAAGCGAAGACCAAGGAAAAUGAUUAAGUGAGAGGGGGAGGAGGAAGAAGGAGCAGGAGUAGAAGAAGAAGACGAAGAGAAGAAGAAGAAGAAGAAGAGGAAGAGAAAAGAAGACGACGACGACGUACGGUAGAGUGGAAUAGAGUGCGUGUUUUGUGUGUAUGUGAGUGAGAAAGAGAGGAAGAAAAAGUGCAAGGGAAGAAAGAAAAGCAGCCGGUAUAUUCUCUUCAUUUUUGCACGUCGCUACUCUCUCUCUCUCUCUCUUUCUUUCUUUCUUUCUCUCUUUCUCUCUAUCUCUUUCGUUAUCUUUAUCUAUUUAUCUAUCCAUCUAUCUAUCUAUAUACCACUAUCUCUCUUUUUUUUUUUUUACUGUCUUUCGCUUUCGCGCACGUGUGUUCCUUUAUAAAGUGUAGUAGUGUCGUGUGUGUUCGUUCGUUGCCUACACUUCGUCGACCGACAAUUCGUUGCUGCUGCUGCUGCUGCCGUCGUCAUCGUCAUUGUUUUUGUUAUCCGUCGUCGUCGUCGUCGUCGUCAUCAUCGUCAUCAUCGUCAUUGUCAUCGUAAUUUGUUCUUUUGCACUCUAAAGUACCGAGAAAAUUUGUCGGGCGUGUAAACGAAGAGUAAAAAGAGAGAAGAAAGGAGGAAGAGGAAGAGGAGGAGGAGUAGGUGAAAGAAAAGUGAAAAAAAAGGAAUUAGCGACAUCAAAAUGUGGAGUGCGAUGUGUGACGUGAUGCCAACGAUUGCGGAGGACAGCAUAAGUCAAAGAAGUUCGCAGUUCUCUGGCGAGGAUGCGAACUUCGAACAAUUAAUGGUUUCGAUGUUGGACGAAAGGGACAAGUUAAUGGAUUCGUUGCGGGAGUGUCAAGAACGGGUCCAAGAAGCCGAAACCAGAGUCAGGGAACUCGAAAAGGAACGAGACUCCCUUAAUCGUCAAAUUUACGCCAACAUUCCCCAGGAACUUUCACAAUUGACGAAGGAAUUAGCGGCAGCGCGUGAAAACAUUUUACAGAGAGAAGAAGAAAUAUCAGAAUUGAAAGCAGAACGCAACAACACACGUCUUCUACUAGAACAUCUAGAAUGUUUGGUUUCUCGACACGAACGAUCGCUGAGGAUGACGGUCGUAAAACGUCAAGCCGCUGCACAAUCGGGCGUGUCGUCAGAAGUUGAAGUACUAAAAGCUUUAAAGAGUUUGUUCGAACAUCACAAAGCUUUGGACGAGAAGGUACGCGAACGAUUGCGUGUAGCUCUCGAAAGGAAUACGAGCCUUGAAGAGGAACUGGCCCAUACCAAAGAAGAGCUUCAACAAUAUAAAGUAAGUGGAAUUACGCCUAAAGCCACCGAUGACAAACCUAAAGAAAAUGGUCAAACGGAUGACGGUCAACAACAAAACAAGAAUGAAACUGAGCAGGCUGAAAGUCAGCAGGAGCCACAGCAGCAGCUUCAACAGCAGCUACAACAGCAGCAACAGCAACAGCAACAGUUACAACAGCAACACGCAAUACAAAAGCUAGGUACAGAGAAGCCACCAACAGAGAUAGCAAGCAGAUUGAGCAAUGGCAGUCUUGACCCAUCCGACCAGGAUUCGGCAGUACGAGUAAUAGACUUGCAAGCCACUCUUGAUAAACAGAGUACUGAGUUAAAUACAUGGCAACGACGUGUAGCGGAAUUGAGCGGACGAGUUGCAGAAUUAGAAGAAACCCUUUCUAAAACCCAAAAGGAUCUUCUUAAAACUCAAGAGAUCAAUGUUAAGUUGCAAAGAGAUCUGUGUGAAAAUGUUGCACAGAAAGAGGACCAAGAAGAAAGGAUUGCAACUCUUGAGAAACGUUAUCUCAAUGCUCAACGGGAAUCAACUAGCUUACAGGAUCUCAAUGAGAAAUUAGAACAGGAGCUUCAACAUAAGAAGGCUCAAUUGAAGCUUCAAGAAGAAAAGAUAGCAGCUAUACAAGAAAAAUUGGAACUUGCAGAACAAAAAUUAACUCAAUAUGCUAAGUUACCUGAAAUGGAAGAACAAUUAAAGCAGAGGAUGGAGGCUCUGACCCAGGUGAGGAGGCCCAACCAGCAGGCUCAGGAGAGGCAUGGUAGCGCAGAGGAUAGAAUACAAAGGUUAGAAGCACAAUUAGAAGAGAAAAAUGCAGAAGUAAUGCGCGUCAAUCAACGACUUAAAAUGAACGAGGAACAUAACACUCGAUUGAGCGCAACGGUUGAUAAACUAUUAUCUGAAUCUAAUGAUAGGCUACAAACGCAUUUAUCUGAAAGAAUGAAAGCAAUAGACGAAAAGAAUGUGAUAAUGCAGGAACUUGAGAAAACGAGGAAAAUAGCUGAAGAUUUACAAAAUGAAAAAGCGGAUAUCGUUAAAGAGCUAGGAAAAGCGCGUCUCGAAAUUGACAAUGUAAAGAGACAAAUGCUUCAGCAAGAAAUUGCUUUCAAUAUUCAACAAACGGAUGCAUUGACUAGAAGUCUUUCUCCAAAUGCCGCGGAUCCUGGUUCAUUUUCUAGAAGCGCAAGUCAUAGUAGUUUUGACACGCACUCGUUGCCUAGAAGAGGAGGGAAAAGAGCUGCAAUGGAAGAGGAUGCCUCGAAGAAUUACGUAGUACGCACUCUUGCGGAACAAGAAUGGGAGAAACUUCAGCAAGCUCAUGUUCUAGCAAACGUGCAGCAAGCAUUUGAUGUUUCAAGCGAUGCAGAAGGUGACGGUGAUAAUGAAAGUAUCUUCAGUUGUUCGGCGGAGGUAAUUAGUCCGGCCGGACACACCGAUGCUCAAACACUUGCGCUGAUGCUACAAGAACAAUUAGAUGCCAUCAAUAAUGAGAUUAGAUUGAUUCAGGAAGAAAAGCAGAACACGGAAGCACGAGCAGAAGAAUUAGAAUCUCGAGUAGGUAGCUUUGAACAUAUGAAUUUAUUAGCAAGAGGACGCAGUCUCGAGCGAGCGUCACCUCCAUUAAGCGGUCGCUCUACACCAAAAUCACAUCAUAGCCCUAACAGAGAUUAUUUACAUAAAUAUCACACAGCACCAGCAUCAAUGUCACCUGCUCAUUUACAUCAGUAUGCUGCAUCCCUUGCUAGUCCUGGACAACUUUCAGAAUCGCUUCCUGCAAGCCAGGUGCUUAAUGCUUCCUGCCUUUGGCAGUUGCAGUUGUCCGGAGAAGAACUGCACUCGGUGAGUGAAAGAGACAGCGUCGGUGGUGCUGGAAGUGUUAGCAGCGAUGCUGCUUCUCCGUUAACGGCCAGAUCGCUGAGAUUAGAGCGCGUUGUGCAAGCACUUGCUCAUAGCCAGGAAGAAUUAAGAAGACGUACUGGACAAACGGGAUUCCCCAGCAGCGGCUUUUCCCCGCACAGCAGGCAUGGACAACAUAGCAACGGCGCACUCAAUUCUGGGACUCCUCCUUCCCCAUUGUCCUCACGCCACAGUAGCCAGGACAGUUUACACAAGAACAAUCUAUCCAGUGUUGGACUACCUAUUGGACAAUUGUCGAGUUCCCAUCUACACAUGCAAGCAACCAUGAGUCCAGCGACAGCAGCUGCGGUGGCAGCAGCUCAGAAGAAAAAAGGCAUAAAGAGUAGUCUUGGCAGAUUUUUCAGUAAAAAAGAAAAGAUAAAGGGAAAAGAUACGACGAUGCCCGGAGAUGUACCUGGUAUGGGAGGUGCAAGUACACCUGCAGAUCCUGAUUACGGGGAUAGCGUUUCCGUGGCAGGAACAUUAGGAAGCAAGAGUGAUUUUGAUCGAAGGAAAAAGAAAAGUCCCAGUAUGUUUGGUAGUAUGCUGGACUCUUCGCGACAUGAGCUAUUGGCCGAAGCAAUGAAAGCUGGAACACCUUUUGCUCUUUGGAAUGGACCAACUGUUGUUGCUUGGUUGGAGCUUUGGGUUGGCAUGCCUACCUGGUACGUUGCGGCGUGUCGAGCUAAUGUCAAAAGUGGUGCUAUAAUGAGUGCACUGAGUGACACUGAAAUACAACGCGAGAUUGGUAUUAGUAACUCUUUGCACCGACUGAAAUUGAGGCUAGCCAUUCAAGAGAUGGUAUCACUUACAAGUCCAUCCGCACCUAAAACUUCUCGUACAACAUUAGCUUUUGGAGAUAUGAAUCACGAAUGGAUUGGAAAUGUAUGGUUACCAAGUCUUGGAUUACCCCAAUAUCGAUCCACUUUCAUGGAGUGCCUUGUUGACGCUAGAAUGUUGGAUCACCUCACUAAAAAGGAUUUGCGCGGUCAACUUAGAAUGAUUGAUAGUUUUCAUAGAACAAGUUUGCAGUACGGAAUUUCGUGUUUGAAGAGAUUAAAUUAUGAUAGACCACAAUUAGAAGAAAGGAGACGAUUGGCGGAAGGAACUAACGCAGAUGUUCUUGUGUGGAGUAACGAUCAAGUUAUACGAUGGGUGCAAUCGAUUGGUCUAAAGGAAUAUGGAAAUCAUCUAUUAGAAUCUGGGGUACACGGUGCCCUAAUUGCUUUAGAUGAAAGUUUUGAUGCAAAUAGCUUUGCUCUUACUUUGCAAAUUCCUACACAAAAUACACAGGCAAGGCAACUUUUAGAAAUGGAAUUUGAAAAUUUAUUAAGGGUAGGAACGGAGAGGCGAAUGGACGAUUCUAAUAUGAAAUCCUGAUCCAACAGAUUACCACAUCUUCAACCCCAUCAUGUCUAGUCGAGAACCCCAGCUAUUACUACUGUCUGUACGCAAAUACCGAAAUGUAGGAGGUGGUCAUGUGUCGCAUCUGCAUUCAAAGGAAUUGCAGUAUAUAUCUCCUCGAAGGCCAAACAAUAUGAGUUGAAUACAAUCACGACAAUAAAUCCGCCUCGUUUGACUUGUUAUGUUUUUACGGGUAACAGAUCAAUUGUAGUUUUAGUAAUAUAUUGUUACAUGGUACUCCUCUAGAUAUUCAACCACAGCUAUUGCACUCUUCUUGUAUUAUAUCUCGUGUACUUAUAUAAUAAUUCUGCAUAUAAAAAAACGGCUUAUGUUGUCGUUGUAACUAGCACAAAAUGAACAAUUAAAAAGAAAGAAAAAAAAAAAA
rnacentral:misc_RNA from 1 species